rnacentral:rRNA from 1 species
UACCAGCACCCCGAGUGGUCGGGACGAUUAUUGGGCCUAAAGCAUCCGUAGCCGGUCCUGCAAGUCUUCCGUUAAAUCCAGCUGCUCAACAGAUGGGCUGCGGGGGAUACUACAGGGCUAGGAGGCGGGAGAGGCAAGCGGUACUUUAUGGGUAGGGGUAAAAUCCGUUGAUCCAAAGAAGACCACCAGUGGCGAAGGCGGCUUGCCAGAACGCGCUCGACGGUGAGGGAUGAAAGCUGGGGGAGCAAACCGG